rnacentral:tRNA from 1 species
UAGAAUNUNNUGUAUAUGGUAGCACGAAGAAUUUUGAGUUCUUAAGAUUGGGUUCAAAUCCUAUGAUUCUAG